UACAGAGGUCUCAAGCGUUGUUCGGAUUCAUUGGGCGUAAAGGGUGCGUAGGUGGCGCGGUAAGUCGGGUGUGAAAUCGUCGGAGCUUAACUCCGAAAUUGCAUUCGAUACUGCCGUGCUCGAGGACUGGAGAGGAGACUGGAAUUCAUGGUGUAGCAGUGAAAUGCGUAGAGAUCAUGAGGAAGACCAGUGGCGAAGGCGGGUCUCU
rnacentral:rRNA from 1 species